UGUACAUAGAAGCAGCGACAGUAUACAAAGUAUAUAGGAGCAGUAACAGCCAAGAAAGUAUAAAGAGUAUAAAAGAGCAGUAACAAAGUAUACAGAGCAUACAGAUGCAGUAACAGAGUAUAUGGAAGUAGCGACAGUAUACAAAGUAUACAAGAGCAGUAACAGUUAAGAAAGUAUACAGAGUAUACAAGAGCAGUAACAAAGUAUACAGAGUAUACAACAUAAAGAAGCAGAGCAUGGAGCGACACACAGCUCCUGCAACAAACCGACAGAAUAAUCCUCCUUAACCUGCAGAGAUCAGAAUGCAGGGAGUCAGCAGAACAGCUGAUCAUCCAGCUGAAGUGAUCUACAAGAAAGAGACAUAGCACUGCAACGAUGUGAGGGCAGAAGUGGUCCCCCAGCAGGCUUUAGUGAUGUUAUGUCUGCUGGGAAAUGCCCACUUUCUCCUGCUGGGAGAUUGCACUAUGUGAGCAAGAAUAAAGGGAUGAAACUUUGAAAAGAAGAAAAUGCUGCCUCCUGAAGUUGGGCUGUGUCAUUUAGAGGUUAAACAAAUCUAGCAUCCUUGAAACCUGAUCGGACAACUACAACUACAAAGAAAGAUAAUGAAAUGAUUGCCCCAUUAUACAAAUUGCUAUAUGAAUUGCUAGCUGGGGGUGUUCCACCCUGUUAACACUAAGGUCACUUUCACUGCUUGUACCUGAAUGUUCUAAAAAAGUCAUAACUUUGUUAUAGGGACUUUAUAAUUUCUCUGUCCCAUAUUGCUUCAUUAUUGGUCAGUAGGGCAAUAUAUUCUGCCUGUUUUGAAAGUGAAUUGUAUCUUUUCAUCAGAAAGUGUGGAUCAGUGGAUUAAAGUGGACCUGUAAGCAGUAUGAAAACUGCUGACAGUCCUAUACUGCAAGUGCCCAGGAUCAUCUUGUUACUUGGUACCCAGAGCUGUUUGUAUUGAGAUCUAUCCCGAUCAUUUUUAUCAGUUGUGAUUGAUAGCUGAUUGGACGCUAGAGCUAUCAGUCAUAGCUCAAAGAGAGGGCCUGGGAAAUCUACCAAUAAACAAAACAUAGUGCUCUGGGCACCCAAUAAGUAGAUCCCGCCUCUUUGACACUUGCGGUGGUGGCAGCUGGGUGCUCAAACAACAUUUAGCUUCAUUACUGAUACUACAGAUGCAGCUCCACUUCCAUCCCUGACCUCUGUAUGGGGUUUUUAUAAGUUGCCUCAGAACUGCUGACAGGUCCAAUUUAUUCUGUGUAUGUAUAAUGUGUCUCCAAAAUAUAGAUAUAAAACACUUGUUUAAUAUUAGCUUCAUAUAUUGAUUCAUUCAUUAAAGGGCUUAUCCUAAGA